AAGCGUAGUGAUAAAAUAAUGGCACUUGUGAAGACACAAUCUAAACCAAUACAUCGGUUAUCUAUGUGUAAUAAAGAAAAUGUUGUUCCAAAUAAUUUUUUAUCUACAUUGGUUUCUUGUGAUAAUAAAUAUGGGGACGAGAUAUUAGGACCACAGGAACAAGAUAUUUUGCAGCACUUUCAGGAGACAGGAGAAAAUCCACGAUGUGAUCAGAUUAUUAGUAAUGGAAAUGAGGUUCCUGUUCGUCUGUUUGCAAUUCCAAAGAAACAAGAUGUUCUUCAAGAACUAGCAGAAAUCCCACUAGAUGAUUACAAUAUUAUUAGUAAUGAAAAUGAUGUUCCUGUUGGUCUGACUGCAUUUCCAGACCCCUCUGAUCAAGAUGUGCUUCAAGAACUAGCAGAAAUCCCACUAGAUGGUAAGUUAAUUUUCUAAUUUUAAUCUCUUGUGCAAAAUGCGCGCUUUGAGGCAUGUUUCUUUGUCUUUGCUAGAUAUUUUAAACUUCUAUGAGGGCAUCACCGGGCGAA